CGUGCAGGCGGUUGAGCAAGUCAGAUGUGAAAGCCUUCCGCUUAACGGAAGAAGUGCAUUUGAAACUACUCGGCUAGAGUUCGAGAGAGGAGAGUGGAAUUCCCGGUGUAGAGGUGAAAUUCGUAGAUAUCGGGAGGAACACCGGUGGCGAAGGCGGCUCUCUGGCUCGAUACUGACGCUGAGACGCGAAAGCGUGGGGAGCAAACAGGAUUAGAUACCCUGGUAGUCCACGCUGUAAACGAUGAGCACUAGGUGUAGGAGGUAUUGACCCCUUCUGUGCCGAAGCUAACGCAUUAAGUGCUCCGCCUGGGGAGUACGGCCGCAAGGCUAAA
rnacentral:rRNA from 1 species